rnacentral:rRNA from 1 species
UACGUAGGGGGCAAGCGUUGUCCGGAAUCAUUGGGCGUAAAGAGCGUGUAGGCGGCCCGGUAAGUCCGCUGUGAAAGUCCAGGGCUCAACCCUGGAAUGCCGGUGGAAACUGUCGGGCUAGAGUCCGGAAGAGGCGAGUGGAAUUCCUGGUGUAGCGGUGAAAUGCGCAGAUAUCAGGAGGAACACCAAUGGCGAAGGCAGCUCGCUGGGACGGUACUGACGCUGAGGUGCGAAAGCGUGGGGAGCGAACAGG